rnacentral:rRNA from 1 species
AUGGCGCACCACAUCGCGCGGCAGAUGCUGGGAUCCGACACAGAUCGAGCUCGCUGGGGGCCGCCUCUUGGAGAACAGCCGCAACCAUCGUUCUCAGCUCCUACCACGGCCGCGGGGCUUCCUCCGCGAGCUGGAGUAUCAUCCUGGUUCACGAACCCUCCAGUUGUGUUUCCUGAAACAACUUCUACCAGAUCAAAUCACAGCAGCUGGGGAGCUGGUGCUGAAGGGGAAGAGAGCUAUGUCCAAGACAACUUUUCUGUCGAUAAUCAUGAAGAUUCAGAGGGAUUGUUGCGUGCUAAUGAUGUGAUGCAAGAUGAUUCAGAUGAUGGAGAUGUUUCAUCACAGCCAUUAUCGCCCUAUGUUGGCAUGGUGUUUGACACAUUUAAGGAUGCCCAGAAAUUCUACAAUGACUAUGCCUUCAAGUUGGGAUUCGGCACACAUAUAUCUUCUACAAAGUACAGCCAAAAGAGAGGACAGAAGCAAGAGGAUGCAAUAAUGAUCAAGAGGGUCUUUGGGUGUGUGCACGCUAGAAAGCCCGAUAAACCGGAAACAAGUAGCACCUCAGAGAGCAUUGCGACAGAAAUAAGCAACUCCAGCAGGCGCCCUAGUGCUGAAAUGGAUGUGACAAGAACGCGUCAAAAAAACAGGAUUCUCCGUCAUGAUUGUAAGGCACACAUGAUUGUUGGGCUUAGGGAUGGGAGAUUGACAGUCACUUGCUUUGUUGCAGAGCAUACACAUCCACUGAUGUAG